UAAUUGAAGAGUUUGAUCAUGGCUCAGAUUGAACGCUGGCGGCAGGCCUAACACAUGCAAGUCGAGCGGCAGCACAGAGGAACUU
rnacentral:rRNA from 1 species